rnacentral:rRNA from 1 species
AGCGUAUACGGUGGAUGCCUUGGCAGUUAGAGGCGAUGAAGGACGUGUAAGUCUGCGAAAAGCUGUGGUGAGCCGACAAAAUGCAUUUGAGCCACAGAUGUCCGAAUGGGGAAACCCACCUAUUUAUAGGUAUCGCUACAUGAAUAUAUAGUGUAGCGAGGCGAACGAGGGGAACUGAAACAUCUAAGUACCCUUAGGAAAAGAAAUCAACCGAGAUUCCCCUAGUAGCGGCGAGCGAACGGGGAUUAGCCCUUAAGCAAUUAUGAACGUAGUGGAAGCCUCUGGGAAGUGGCGCGAUACAAGGUGAUAGCCCUGUACACGAAGUGUUUGUUUUUGUGAAAUCGAGUAGGUCGGGACACGUGUUAUCUUGACUGAAUAUGGGGGGACCAUCCUCCAAGGCUAAAUACUCCUAACUGACCGAUAGUGAACCAGUACCGUGAGGGAAAGGCGAAAAGAACCCCUGUGAGGGGAGUGAAAUAGAACCUGAAACCGUAUACGUACAAGCAGUGGGAGCACCUUCGUGGUGUGACUGCGUACCUUUUGUAUAAUGGGUCAACGACUUAGUGUUGUAUGCAAGCUUAAACCGUUAGGUGUAGGCGCAGCGAAAGCGAGUCUUAAUAGGGCGCAUGAGUUCGUGGGAUCAGACCCGAAACCGAGUGAUCUAGGCAUGACCAGGAUGAAGGUGCGGUAACACGCACUGGAGGUCCGAACCCACACCUGUUGAAAAAGGUCGGGAUGAGUUGUGCCUAGGGGUGAAAGGCCAAUCAAACUCGGAGAUAGCUGGUUCUCUGCGAAAUCUAUUUAGGUAGAGCGU